CGGGGCGUGGCUCAGCCUGGUAGAGCACUGCGUUCGGGACGCAGGGGUCGGAGGUUCGAAUCCUCUCGCCCCGACCA
rnacentral:tRNA from 3 species